AAAAAUAGUUAUAAUUUAAGGCUUUAUUGAAAAAAUUGCCGUUUUAAUUGGAGUGAGCUAUGGCCCGUAUUGCAGGCGUAAAUGUACCAGAU
rfam:Methylophilales bacterium HTCC2181 1100893002543, whole genome shotgun sequence.